rnacentral:lncRNA from 9 species
CGGACGCAGUCUUUUAGUGUUCAUUCUUCAAGUGCUUUGGAAACUUCAGAAGGGAAAUGAGAAGAAAACAGCAUGGACUCCCCGCCCUCUCCUCACCCCUUCCAUCGCCAAGUAGCCUAGUGACUCCUAGGAGGCAGGGGGUUAAGGAGUCCACGGCCUGGAAGUUCCCGUGUAGCACAGCGGGUUAAGUGUCCGGCUGGUAUUGCUGCAGCUGUGGCACAGGUUGCAACGGCCGUGUAGGCUCAAUCUCGGGAACUUCCAUGUGCCACGGGCACGCCCCCCCCCACAAGUCCAUAGUCUAAUGGAGUGCGAGAUCUGCAGACAAAAAUCCGAUUCAGGUGGGCAGUCUGUAUAGAGGGUACACAGGAGGAGCGACUGGCCCCCUGGAGGAGUUGAGUCCGCAUCUCAGAAGGACAACACUUGACCCGGAUCUGGAAGAGGCUGUGGCACUAGGCAGGCAGAUGAACAGCGAGGAGCAUUUGGGCAGAGAGAACUCUGUCUGCCAAGGUGGCCCCCAAACAGAGCGCUGAGGACCACCCAGAGGGCAGCAGUGUCUCUGAAGCCCCAGGCAGCUGCUAUGAGAGGCCCGAGAGGCCAUCCACCAUCACCUACGACUACUCCGAGGAAGAGCUGAUGGCCAGCAUUGAGCAGGAGUACUGCUGCUGAGGCCGGUGCUGCAGCAGCCCCGCUGUCACCCAGCGGCCAGUUUGCUGCUCCUCCCAGACCUGGCCCCACCUGCCCUGCCCAAGGCUCUAGGUGGAGCUGAGCCCCCUCCAACAUGCAGUUACUCCUGGAUCUGUCACAGCUGACCCUUUCAAGUCCACAUUCAGAUGGGCCUGAAUGGGGCUGGCUGCUGCCCAUUGUGCUUAUUGGCAAGAGGCGGUCAGCUCUGUGGACACGGGCCAGAGGGAGGGUGCAGGUGCUGCCCCACAGGCGCGGGGCCAGGUGACCUGCCACAUACCUGCCCCUCCCCUCAGUCUCUGGGGAGAGUGGGCUACAAGAUGCUCCUGGAUCUUGAAAUGCUUCUCCUUUCUGAUGGCCCACUGGCCACCUGCUCAGGAGACCCUUGAGCUGAAUGAAAGUCUUGGGGCCUCUAACACCCCCGCCGCAGCGCCUCAGGGACGUUCCCUGCAGCAGGUGCACCCAGCUGGAGGGAGCUGGAGGGAGUCACCCUCCAUGCCGCAAAGGAAUCGCUGAAGAUGCUACUGAAAUGAAAACAUUCAGAUUCUGUGCGUCUGGGGGCCUGGGAGUCUGCAUUUCUCACCAGCUCCCGGGUGAGACCCAGGCUGCCAGAUCCCAGCCACCCUUGGAGCAGCGAGGAUUGAGUCUGAGCUUUAGGCUCCAGGUAAUGCUUCCCUGGAGCUGGAGGCUGCUCAGAGCCACAGCCCAGCUGCCUCCACAAAGAGAGGCCUGUGCUGUGGCCAGUGUGGAGGGACAGGAGCUGGAACCCCCCCGUCUGAUCCUUGCUCUGUCUCUAACUUGCAGUCCCCUUCCCUCUCUGACUCAGCUUCCCUUUCUAGAAAGGGAGCCCUGGAGGCUCUUCGGGUGUUGUCUCCCCACCCCCCCAUCUAGGACGACACACUCCCAGGCUUCCCUGGUCUCUGGGCACAGGACCACCUUCCUGCCCAGGUGGAGCCCAGCACCCCCUGGACAGGCUCUUCAGGGCCGCCUGCUCUUCCCACCCAGGAAGAAAGUAGAAAUCUCACAGCCGCAGGCCAGAAGAGCCUCAGAACCUUCCCAGCCGCCAAAGGAGAAAGCCAGCCAAGGAUGCCCUGUGAAUGAGGCAGGGCCCGGAGAAGUGCAGCCUGGCCGGAAGGCUGCGCUCAGCAGGCUCGGAGUGUCAGAGCGGCCGGGAAGCAGCUCCUCUGGGGCAGCUGGCUGCGGUGUCGGUACAUAAAGCCUCGUGGAAGGCAUGGCCGCGUCCCAGCCAGAACAGGUCUCAGCUUGUCUGGUGUUAACCACUCACACAGCCGCCUCUGGGGCAUCGCCCACCAGCAAAGGGGCAAGAUGGUCUCAGAAACCGAGGAACGACCCCUUGGCCCUGUCCCCAGACCCAUGGGCCUGUUGCUAAAGGGGGCAAACAGGUGUUUCCACGAACCUUUAAGACUUGGCAACUGUGCCUUUGAUCAGAUGGUCCAGGAGUGGGAGAUUUUAACCUGCAAGUCAGAAGAUGGAGCGCUGGAGCCUCCCACUAAAUGCCCCUGAGGGUUGGCUCAGAAUGUCCCCAAAGCAAGAGCUAUUUCUCAUCCAAGCCCAGACCUUUCAUUUUGAUAUGGAGAUUAAAGCCAAUACUAUUUCGAGAACACAAAUACUUCUUUUAACAGAAGUUAUGACUUUCUCACCACUAGAUGGAUCAGACCUUGAAUUUAAUGAUGUGAAAUUGGAAGCCUCAUCCAACCCUUAAUGAGAUAAAAGCACGAAGAACAAAAAAAGCUUCCUGAAGUUACAUUUUAUGUCACUGUCAAGGCGAAUGCACUUCAUCAGAGCUAAGAAGUCAAAGCGGUUGUUCUCAGAUCUUUUUAUUUUUAUUUUUUGAUUCCCUGAAUUCAGGAACAGUGUCUUCUGAACAGCGGCUUGCCAAAAAAGCAGCGUGUCCCAGCCCGUGAUGCGGAGAUGGGCGAUGGACGGAGGACGCUUGGUGGUGGCAGGGGUGCUGGUCCUGGUGGCAAUUGCUUCUUGCACUCAGUGGGCACACAGUGCCUCCUGGGUGCUGAGCGCUGCUUCAGGCCUUCUCUUAGGUGCUGGGUGCUGCUUCUGAGCCCCCGCUUCUGCUUAGGAGCUGAGUGUGGCAUCUGCUCAGGGAGAAUGUGGCUGAAAUAAAGGCGGGAAAAGACACCUCCAUGUUGAAAGUAACAAUGGGAGUUCCCGCUGUGGCUCAGCAGGUUAACAACCGACAUAGUGUCCCUGAGAACACGGGUCCCAUCUCUGUCCUUGCUCAGCGGGUUAAGGAUCUGGCCAUGCUACAGGCUGCAGUCCAGGUCACAGACUCUGCUAGGAUCUGAUGUCGCUGUGCCUGUGGUGUAGGCUGGCAGCUGCAGCUUGGGUUAGAUCCCUAGUCUAGGAAGUUCCAUAUGCCGCAGGUGUGGCUAUAAAAAGAGAAAAAAAAGCGACAAUGACAGGUUGAAAGUCUCAGUGCCACAGAUGUGUCUCUUGAUUUCUGUGGUGGCAAUUCCCUCUGAGAUGCUACAAAGCCCGGGAGUUAAGAAAACAUGCUUGGAGUUCCCAUUGUGGCGAAGCGGAAAUGAAUCCCACUAGGACCCAUGAGGUUGCAGGUUCCAUCCCUGGCCUUGCUCAGUGGGUUAAGGAUCUGGCAUUACCGUGAGCUGUGGUGUAGGUUGCAGACGUGGCUCGGAUCCCCCCCCCUUGCUGUGGCUGUGGUGUAGGCCGGUGUCUACAGCUCCGAUUCGACCCUUAGCCUGGGAACCUCCAUAUGCUGCGGGUGCAGCCCUAAAAAGACAAAAGACAAAAAAAAAAAAAAAAAAAAAAAAAAAAAAGAAAAGAAAAAGAAAACACGCUCCAUUCCAGCU